GAUGAAGAACGCAGCGAAAUGCGAUAAGUAAUGUGAAUUGCAGAAUUCAGUGAAUCAUCGAAUCUUUGAACGCACAUUGCGCCCAUUAGUAUUCUAGUGGGCAUGCCUGUUCGAGCGUCAUUAAGUCCACUUAAGCCCUGCUUAGUGUUGGGAGACUGCUCCAGCGGUGCUACCCUGUAGCUACCCUGCAGCUCCUCAGAGACAGCGGCGGAGUUGUGGUAUCCUCUGAGCUUAGUAACUUGUUCUAGCUUUCGAGUACACCACUUCCCCUGCCGUAAAACCCUUAAUUUUUAAUGGUUGACCUCGGAUCAGGUAGGAAUACCCGCUGAACUUAAGCAUAUCAAUAAGCGGAGGA
rnacentral:misc_RNA from 1 species